rnacentral:rRNA from 1 species
GUGUUCACCCAUUAAAAGGGUUCGUGAGCUGGGUUCAGAACGCUGUGAGGCAGUUUGUUUAAUAUCUACUGGAAAUGUCUGAUGUCUGAAAGGAAGGAUCCUCCAGUACGAGAGGAACGAGGGUUCGAGGCCUCUGGUCUACCGGAUAUCUGAUAAGGUAAAACCGGGCAGCUACGCCUUAGAGGAUAAGUGCUGAAAGCAUCUAAGCACGAAACCUCCCUUGAAAAGAGACAUCUUAGAACACAGAUAAAAGAUCUGUUUGAUGGGAUCGGUGCGUAAGUAUAAAGCUUCGGCGAUAUAUUCAGCAUGCGAUUUCCAAUAGUUCAUUCCUUACACUUU